GAAAUCAAUCAGAUUUAAUUUUUCUUAGAUAAGUAUAAUGACUUUCUGACAUUAUUUUUGAAGGGAACAAUAUGCAGAGGGCAAGAUGAGAGGGGCUGCUCCAGGGAAGAAGACAUCCGGUCUGCAACAGAAAAAUGUUGAAGUGAAAACAAAAAAGAACAAACAGAAAAGUAAGUAUAAAUGUUUUUAAAAUUGACCUAUUAAUAUUUCAGUUGUGAGUUCACUCUAUGAAACUGACACUGGGACAGUAUGUGGCUUAAUGACCUCAAGUAGAGGUCUCACAGAGUUUGUAGAUAAGGACGGAGUGGUUUUUAUCUUGACUGCCUGAAAAGAUGUGGUUGUUUUCACUGUGCUUUAGUCUUAGGGAGAUAGCCUUUUAAAUAUGUUAUUAAAUAUUUCCUAAGUAAAGUGUUAAAUAAGUUUUUAUUUUUAUUUUUUUUUAAGAAAAACUAUUCUAUAAGUUGGAUUAAUUAAAUAUCUGUAAUGGGGAAGUGAGAACUUACGACACUCUUUACAUUAAGAAUUUGUUAGUUAGCCAAUACCAGCCCCGCCAUUCUUAAACGUUUUGUAGCACCUGGAAAUGGAGAUGGUGGCAGUACCAGUGAGACCCCUCAGCCUCCUAGGAAGAAGCGAGCCCGGGUAGAUCCAACCGUUGAAAAUGUGAGUUUUCGUCUUUUCUUCUGGCAGGCUGUCCUAAAGGCCCUGGUGAUCCUUCUCUACUUCCGCACUCUCUUCCCUUCCAAUAUUUAUGUUUGAGACAGGAUCUUGCUGUGUAAAUGGCUAGUCUCUGCCUCAGAUUUCCAAAUGCUGGGGUUACUGGCACACGCUACCAAAGUGCAAAGGCAGGUUCUGGUUUAGUAACUGAAAAAUUAAAAGUGUCUUUAAAUAAAGAUAAGCCAUGUUAGCUGUGCCUAGUGGGGCAAGCUGUUACUUCUAGGACUCAGGAGGCAGAGACAGACAGAUCUAUCUUGUGAGUUUGAGGCUAGCCUUGUCUACAUAUUGAGUUCCAGGACAGUCAGAGCUACAUAAUAGGACCAUGUCUAAAUGGGGUGGGGUGGAGAAGAGAGAAAGUCAUGUUUGGUAUAAGCAUUUGGAUAUCAAGAGUAAAUGUGAAGAAGCUGUUAAGCUGUAUUAAGAAUAUUCCAUUUCCAAAAGAGGGAAAGGAGUCCUAAUAACUCAAGACCAUAAUUUUUUUCCUGGCUAUAUGAUUUCAUGUAUCUGUUCGCCUACAGAGCCCCACCCUGUAUGGCAAUUCCUUCUUUUGAGUGGUUCCUUCAAGGAAUUAGUGUAUACCUGAUAUCUUAAAGAUCAAAAGAGAAGCAAAAAAAAGUUUGCAAUACCUUUCUUUGCCUUUCUUCUUUAGGAAGAAACAUUCAUGAACAGAGUUGAAGUUAAAGUGAAGAUUCCUGAGGAGCUGAAACCAUGGCUUGUAGAUGACUGGGACUUGAUCACCAGACAAAAGCAG
rnacentral:lncRNA from 1 species